GCAGGCUGAACCGACAGUGUGAAGAGCAGACAUGUUCUGGGACUGCCAGUCAGCGGGACCCAGAGGGCAGCCACGAGCGGAGACUGCGAAGAACCGGAUGGCAGAGGCAUCCAUAUGAAGAUCAGAGUCAAUAUGGCGACCACCCAGGAGUGAAGAACCCUCAGACUGUCCAAGGGGUGACUGGACUCAUGUCAGAAAAUAUACCAGAUCCAGUCAAGUUGACAACCAAGAUAACCAUCACAAACGGGUAAACCUCUCUGCCCCAGAGAUGGUCCAGGGAGAGAGAGGCUGCCAGAGGAAAGAAACACAAGAGAGCAGACCUGGAUCAAAGGGAAUGCCACGGGGCUGGGCCCCAGGAACACAACCUGUGGGCACUGCAGGACCAGUCCCAG